GACGAAGGAUGCAAGCGUUAUCCGGAUUCAUUGGGUUUAAAGGGUCUGUAGGCGGUCUCGUAAGUCAGUGGUGAAAGCCCAUCGCUCAACGGUGGAACGGCCAUUGAUACUGCAGGACUUGAAUUACUGGGAAGCAACUAGAAUAUGUAGUGUAGCGGUGAAAUGCUUAGAGAUUACAUGGAAUACCAAUUGCGAAGGCAGGUUGCUACCAGUGGAUUGACGCUGAUGGACGAAAGCGUGGGUAGCGAACAGG
rnacentral:rRNA from 1 species